rnacentral:rRNA from 1 species
UACGGAGGGUGCGAGCGUUGUCCGGAAUCACUGGGCGUAAAGGGCGCGUAGGCGGCGCGGAUAGUCGGCGGUGAAAGCCCGGAGCUCAACUCCGGGUCGGCCGUCGAUACUUCCGGGCUUGAGCACUGUAGAGGCAGAUGGAAUUCCGGGUGUAGCGGUGGAAUGCGUAGAGAUCCGGAAGAACACCGGUGGCGAAGGCGGUCUGCUGGGGUAAUGCUGACACUGAUGCGCGACAGCGUGGGGAGCAAACAGG